rnacentral:rRNA from 1 species
CCUACGGGAUGCAGCAGUAGGGAAUAUUGCUCAAUGGGGGAAACCCUGAAGCAGCAACGCCGCGUGGAGGAUGAAGGUUUUCGGAUUGUAAACUCCUUUUGUUAGAGAAGAUAAUGACGGUAUCUAACGAAUAAGCACCGGCUAACUCCGUGCCAGCAGCCGCGGUAAUACGGAGGGUGCAAGCGUUACUCGGAAUCACUGGGCGUAAAGAGCGCGUAGGCGGGAUAGCAAGUCAGAUGUGAAAUCCUAUGGCUUAACCAUAGAACUGGAUUUGAAAAUGGUAUUCUAGAGUAAUGGGGAGGGAAGGGGAAUUCUUUGUGGAGGGGUAAAAGCAG